rnacentral:lncRNA from 1 species
GGGGCAUGGAGAUCUAAUAGACACAAAACUAGGUGUCUGGGUUAGAGCAAAGAGAAGAAGAAGAGGGUCUUUUUUUAGAGUUGCUGGGUUCAUCUCUUCCCGUCCUCCAUCUAUAAGUUUUUUGAGAGUGUCUCAUCUAAAACUCCUUCUCCUACUUCUCAUCUUUGAAAGAGUCCAAAUCAAGAAGGAGGCAUCUGAUCGACCAUCGAAGAAGGAUCAGUACAGUACUAGC